ensembl:snoRNA Gm26345 small nucleolar RNA SNORA17
CCCUCCCCUAAAGACAUUGCUGUGUCACAUGUGUCACAUGUGCAUCAGUAGAUGGCAAAGAAGAGAGAAGCCAUGUCUGCACUCAGUAUUCUGAUCUAUGAACAUCUGAAUGAUUAGCAGCCUAACAUU